rnacentral:tRNA from 1 species
ACAUUGGUGGCUCAGUGGUAGAGUUUUCACCUUCCACGUGGGAGACCCAGGUUUGAUUCCCAGCCAAUGCA